GGAGUUGUGGCUCAGUGAUAGAGCACUUGCCUAGCAUGCAUGAGGCACUGGGUUCAAUCCUCAGCAACACAU
rnacentral:tRNA from 1 species